rnacentral:rRNA from 1 species
CCUACGGGUGGCUGCAGUGAGGAAUAUUGGUCAAUGGUCGGGAGACUGAACCAGCCAAGCCGCGUGAGGGAGGAAGGUACAGAGUAUCGUAAACCUCUUUUGUCAGGGAACAAAGACUGGGACGCGUCCCCGGAUGAGUGUACCUGAAGAAAAAGCAUCGGCUAACUCCGUGCCAGCAGCCGCGGUAAUACGGAGGAUGCAAGCGUUAUCCGGAUUUACUGGGUGUAAAGGGAGCGUAGACGGCAGCGCAAGUCUGGAGUGAAAUCCCAUGGCUUAACCAUGGAACUGCUUUGGAAACUGUGCAGCUGGAGUGCAGGAGAGGUAAGCGGAAUUCCUAGUGUAGCGGUGAAAUGCGUAGAUAUUAGGAGGAACACCAGUGGCGAAGGCGGCUUACUGGACUGUAACUGACGUUGAGGCUCGAAAGCGUGGGGAGCAAACAGGAUUAGAUACCCCGGUAGUC